rnacentral:rRNA from 1 species
CCUACGGGUGACAGCAGUGGGGAAUAUUGUACAAUGGGGGAAACCCUGAUGCAGCGACGCCGCGUGAAGGAAGAAGGAUUUCGGGAUGUAAACUUCUAUCAGCAGGGAAGAAAAUGACGGUACCUGACUAAGAAGCCCCGGCUAACUACGGGCCAGCAGCCGCGGUAAUACGUAGGGGGCAAGCGUUAUCCGGAUUUACUGGGUGUAAAGGGAGCGUAGGCGGCGAUGCAAGUCAGAAGUGAAAGCCCGGGGCUCAACUCCGGGACUGCUUUUGAAACUGUGUUGCUAGAUUGCAGGAGAGGGAAGUGGAAUUCCUAGUGUAGCGGUGAAAUGCGUAGAUAUUAGGAGGAACACCAGUGGCGAAGGCGGCUUACUGGACUGUAAAUGACGCUGAGGCUCGAAAGCGUGGGGAGCAAACAGGAUUAGAUACCCUUGUAGUC